UACAGAGGUCUCGAGCGUUAGGCGGAAUCACUGGGCUUAAAGCGUGUGUAGGCGGAUCGGUAAGUACCUUGUGAAAUCCCACAGCUUAACUGUGGAACUGCUUGGUAUACUGCCAGUCUUGAGCCAGCUAGGGGCUACCGGAACAAAUGGUGGAGCGGUGAAAUGCGUAGAUAUCAUUUGGAACGCCAAUGGUGAAAACAGGUAGCUGGGGCUGUGCUGACGCUGAGACACGAAAGCCAGGGGGAGCAAAACGGG
rnacentral:rRNA from 1 species